AUGUCUCCUCUGUCAAUGUCGAUAAGACGAGGUAACGCCAGGCUCUUCUGCUCGCGCACUCUACCACCAUGCCGUGGCAUCGGCAGGUCGCGAGCGCGCUGGCCAUGGAGCUCCCGCGGUGUCCGUGGCCGUCGCGGCGGCCGCGCUGUACGCGCGCGCCGCGUCGUCGCUCCUCCGGCCCGGGCUCCCGCUCCUCGCCGCCGCGCCGCUGGCCUUCGCCUCCUCCGCCAUCGUCCGGGGCGUCGCCGCCUUCUUCCUCGCCUGGCUCGGCGCCUUCAAGGUCGCGCUCCUCGCCGCCGGCCGCGGCCCGCUCGACCCCGCCCUCCCCGUGCUCCCGUUCCUCUUCACCGCCUUGCUCCCCGUCAAGCUCCGCCGCGGCGGCGCCGCUGGAGCAAUGUCCGAGGCCAAGGCGGCGCCCUCGCUCGCCUCCUGCGCGGUCAAGGCCGCCGUCAUGGCCGCCCUCGUGGGCCUCUACCGGCUCAACGCCCGGCUGCACCUCUACGCGCGCCUGGCGCUGUACGGCGUCCACACCUACUGCUUCCUGGACCUGCUCCUCCCCUGCAUCGCCGCCGCCGCGCCCGCGCUCGGCAUGGAGACGGAGCCGCAGUUCGACCGGCCGUACCUGGCCUCCUUGCUGCGGGACUUCUGGGGCCGGCGGUGGAACCUCAUGGUGUCGGCCAUCCUCCGGCCGUCGGUGUACGACCCCGUGCGCGCCCGCGCGGGGGGCGCCGCGGGCGUGCUGGCCUCGUUUGCGGUGUCCGGGGCGAUGCACGAGGCCAUGGUGUGCUACCUCAGCCUGCGGUGGCCGCCCGGCGGCGGGAUGGCCGCCUUCUUCGCCCUCCACGGCGCCUGCUGCGUCGCCGAGGGGUGGUGCGCGCGGCGGUGGGCGGCGAGGAGGCCGCCGCGCGCCGUGGCGACGGUGGGUGUGGGGCUGUUCGUGGCGGGCACGUCGUUCUGGCUCUUCUUCCCGGCGCUGCUCAAGGACGGCGUCGAGGAGAGGUUCCUGGACGAGUGGGCUGCCGUGGCGGCCUUCUUCCUCGACGCCGGCUGAAAGAUGAAUUCCAUUGUUGUACAGUCGACGGAGUAGCUAGCAAUAGUAAUUGCUUCCAUGAAAGCAGUCAAAUCAUGGAUCACCAAGUGAACUACUCUGAUGGUUCAGUGAAAACGAAACGAAAAGCGCCUGGAGUAUCUCCAACAGAAGCGUUAUAUAAACGACGCGCGGUAUAA
rnacentral:rRNA from 1 species